rnacentral:rRNA from 1 species
GAUGAACGCUGGCGGCGUGCCUAAUACAUGCAAGUCGAGCGAACAGACGAGGAGCUUGCUCCUUUGACGUUAGCGGCGGACGGGUGAGUAACACGUAGGUAACCUACCUAUAAGACUGGGAUAACUUCGGGAAACCGGAGCUAAUACCGGAUAAUAUUUCGAACCGCAUGGUUCGAUAGUGAAAGAUGGCUUUGCUAUCACUUAUAGAUGGACCUGCGCCGUAUUAGCUAGUUGGUAAGGUAACGGCUUACCAAGGGAACGAUACGUAGCCGACCUGAGAGGGUGAUCGGCCACACUGGAACUGAGACACGGUCCAGACUCCUACGGGAGGCAGCAGUAGGGAAUCUUCCGCAAUGGGCGAAAGCCUGACGGAGCAACGCCGCGUGAGUGAUGAAGGUCUUCGGAUCGUAAAACUCUGUUAUUAGGGAAGAACAAACGUGUAAGUAACUGUGCACGUCUUGACGGUACCUAAUCAGAAAGCCACGGCUAACUACGUG